rnacentral:lncRNA from 1 species
CAUGAGGCCAGAAAAUUGAAUAGUGCUCCUACUAAGUCCUAACCCUGUUGGCGUCGCAGCUGUUCUUCUUCUUCAAGCUCAAACAAGGAAGAAAGGCGCUGUGGUUCCCUGAUAGUGCCAGUACUCCCCUCUACAAUGGCGCGUGCUUUAUGCAGUGCAGGGAAGGCGCCAGGCUACGACAAAAGCUGGCCGGGCGUACAGCAAAAGCUUCAUUGCACCAACGAAAGAUCCAUCCGGAUUUGUUCUUCAUCAAUGCCGGGAAGAAGCGAUUAAGCUGCCUGCUCCCCUCACUCGGAGCCUGUCCAAUGGCAACGUCCAAGCGCGCCAAACCAAGGAUCAAAGCUGCCAUUAGAUACUAAUCCUGUGCUGCUAGUGCGUGCUGCGUAUGGCUGCCCUGCCGGCCGU